rnacentral:rRNA from 1 species
UACGUAGGUGGCGAGCGUUAUCCGGAUUUACUGGGCGUAAAGCGUGUGCAGGCGGGAUGGUAAGUGGGGUGUGAAAUCUCCCAGCUUAACUGGGAGGGGUUAUGCCAGACUGCCAUUCUAGAGUGCGAGAGAGGAAUGUGGAAUUCCGGGUGUAGCGGUGGAAUGCGUAGAGAUCCGGAAGAACACCGGUGGCGAAGGCGGCCUGCUGGGACAGUGCUGACGCUGAGGCGCGACAGCGUGGGGAGCAAACAGG